UACGUAGGGUGCGAGCGUUAAUCGGAAUUACUGGGCGUAAAGCGUGCGCAGGCGGCUUCUCAAGUCAGGGGUGAAAGCCCAGAGCUCAACUCUGGAACUGCCUUUGAGACUGAGAGGCUUGAGUUCGGGAGAGGUGAGUGGAACUGCGAGUGUAGAGGUGAAAUUCGUAGAUAUUCGCAAGAACACCAGUGGCGAAGGCGGCUCACUGGCCCAUAACUGACGCUGAGGCACGAAAGCGUGGGGAGCAAACAGG
rnacentral:rRNA from 1 species